UUGCUGAAGCAGCAAGCGGUGAGAUUUUGCUGUGCUUUCGGUGCUUUUUAAAAAUUUUAAUCCAUUUUCAUUUCUCUCUGUCUUACUUCCACCCCCAAGGAGAUUUUAUUCAGGAGCUGAAACUCGGGAUGAUGCAGAGUCAGAGAGAAGCAAAUCAUUCUGCAGUGAGGAAUCGUCAGACAGGAGCUGGGACCAGAGAGAGAGAGACCGAGAGAAUUAUAAUCAACCAUCUCGUGUCCUUGUCGUUCAAUUCCACACUCACAUGCUCAUGGGGGAAUGAAUUAUGGGGCUCAGGCAGUCUCUGGAGUUUGGACCACAAGGGCGUGAGACCUGGGCUGGCGCUUGGGGGAGACAAAGGGACAAAAAUGGGGCUGCUGCACAGUCUGAUCCCACAGAUUUUACUGCCUUCCUCUGCCUUCAUACUCCCAGCUUCUUGUCUCUCUCACAGCUUUCUAUAAAUCCCCAUCUCCCCUCCAUCCUUCAAAUCUCCCCCUAUCUACUGUACACAGGCUGUUAAAAGCAGAACAGAGUGGGGAUGAAUUCACAGGUUGAUGCUAGGGUAAUAGAAUGGGGAUGGGUUCAGAGGGCAGUGCUAGGGUAACAGAAUGAAGAUGGGUUCACAGGCCAAGGCAAGGAAAACAGAGUGGGAAUGCAUCACUAGAUCAUUGCUAAAGCAACAGUGUGGGGCGGUGUUCAAAGGCCAUAGCUGGUAGAACAGAGGCGGGGUGCGAGGAGAACAGAGGAUGCAUUCACAGGCUGCUGCACAGGGACAUACUAAGGAAGGGUUCUCUGGCCUAUGCUAGCACAACAGAAUGGGGAUGGGCUCACCGGCCAUUCCUAGGUAUAAUAGUGUGGGAAUGAGUUAACAGGCCAUUUUCUAUGAGAACAGUUUCAGCAUACGUUCACACAUCGCUGUUAGGAGAACAGAGUGUGGGAUGGGUUUAUAGUCUAUGGCUAGAGUAACAUUGUUAGGAUGGGUUCAUAGGCCAUUGCAAGGAGAACACAGUGGGAGUGGGUUAACAGAUCAUUGCGAGGGGAACAAGAUUAAGAUGGGCUCACAGGCCAUUGCUAGAGGAACAGAAUGGGGAUGGGAUCAUAGACUAUUGCUAUAAAACUAAAUUGGGAUUGGGUUCCCAAGUCACUGCUAGGAGAACAGUGUGGAGAUGGUUGAACAGUCUGGUGCUAAGGCAAAAGCGUGAGGAUUGGUUCACAGGCUGGUGCAAGUGAUACAGUAUUGAUGGUUUCACAGACUGUUUCUAGCAGAGCAGAUUGGGAAUGGGGUCACAGGCAGUUGUCAGUGCAGCAGAGUGGAGGUGGUUUCACAGGCCGUUGCUAGGGGAAGAGAGUAGGGAUUGGCUGACAGGCUGUUACUAAGAGAACAGAGGCAGGAUCAGUUCACACGUUGUUGCUACGAGAACAUUUUGUGGAUGUUCAACAGGUUGUUGCUUGGGGUACAUUGGAGAUGUGGUCACAGUCUUUUGCAAUGAAAUUGGGGAUGGGUAUGAGCCUGUUUCAAGGGGAUCAGAGUGGGGAUGGAUUCAUAGGCCUUUCCAAGGGCAACCGUCUAAGGAUCUGCUCAUAGGCCUUGACUCGGGCAAGACAGUGGCAAUGGGCUCACAGAUUGUUGCUGGGGGAACAGAUUGGGAAUGUUUCACAUGCUGUAGCUACAAGAAAAGACUGGUCGUGUGUUAAUAAGUUGUUGCAAGAAGAAGGGAAUGCAGACGUGUUCACAGGUCAUUGGUAGAACAGUGGAGAUGUGUUGACAGGCCAUUGCUAGCUUAACAGAAUGGUGAUGGGCUUACAGGCUUUUGCUCUUGGAGAAGAGUGCGGAUGGUACACAGGGAGAGAAAAAGUGUAGAACCGACACAGAGAGAGAUCAACAGACAGACCGAGAGGGAAACAGAGGGAUGCACAGAUUGAUUUGUUGUCACAUGUACUGAAAUACAGUAAAAUGUUUUGUUUAUGAGUGGUCCAGAUCAGAUCGGAGCCAGGCAGAGUCAGCAUGGUUUACAAAAAGGAAGUCACGCUUGAGGAAAACGUUCAAUUAAAAAAAACACUAGCCCAAUCACUGUAACUCCUGGGAAACUCGGGCUGCAAAUCACAGCACUCGGUCCCCACUGAAAUCAACUGAUUCACAACACCCCGAUUUUGCAUCUCUUUUUGCUUCUGGCCCUGUCUCACCUUCACCUCCCUCAGCCCAGCCAGAUCCAAUGUCAAUUAGUGUUCAAUGCCAAUGCAGGCCAAUGGCAAAUCCAAUGUUUACCUGGAAAGCGAGCUGGAGGAACAUAAGACACAAGGUGUUACAAUGUGAUGGGGUUGUCGAUGACAGGUUAGAGAGGCACAAGGAUCUCAUCUUUAUGCUCCCAUGUACUAGUUAGAUGAAUAUGCUCAGUGCACAUUACCCCUUCUACAUUCAUCAGUCUUGUGCUUGUGUUUAAGUUUUGAAAAUGGCUUUGAAUGUGAGACAAGUGGAGCUGUAACAAUCCCGUGGUAUUCAGCAGCAAAAAAAACCAAUCAGGCUUUUCCAAAAUGGGUAUCUUCUGAGAUCGUGAGCCACAUGGAAGAAUGAGAACUGUCUCACUGGGGCUCGCCAUGUCUACUUUCAAAGUCUGCUCGAAGUGAUCAGAAACUUUGCUGAAUUUGCACAUUAGGAUUGCAGCACGAGCAAGUGGCCAAUUUCUGGUUGGGUGGAUGGAGAAGCCUGAUUCAUUCAUAUGAAAACCUAGGAUAGAAACUUAUGGCCCUGAGGAGACGCUAUCCUCAAAUUGAGUGACUGCUGGCCACGCUGAGGGAUAUUGUACAGCAGGGAGAAUAGUCAGUCAUCCUGAGCUAUGAAGAGGGGAUGUUGUGAACAUCUGUACUGGACUGAUGGAUGGAUUUUUGAAACUCCUUUUAUCAGAGCUCAGAGUGGCUGGUACACACAGCAAAACCCAAAUCAAUUGAAAUGAUUAUCUCUUCUGAAUGGCUCGCUCUGGCUGAUGGAGAUUGAUUUUACAAACUAACUCAUAGAAUUUCCACGGAGUAACCUCAGUUACAUCACCCGAUUCCAAGGGAUUUCCUUAAUUUUGAAACUAUUCUCUGACAUGGAACUUUUGAAAUCUUUCCAGCUACAGGUUCCAGCAGAUUGUAAUAUUGUAAUCAAUAAGACUGUUUCAGGGCUAAAUAUUUUUUAAUGAGUCAUUAAUAAUUUAAGGAUUUUAUUGUUGUCCUGUGUUAUUUGGGAGAGGUUCAAUGUCUCUGCAUCUGGAGUGACACCUUUGCUGUGGGAUCUGAAUCCAUGUUCAUCUAUUGCUCUCUUUCACUGAUGUUUGAUGACUAGCAUCGGAAUGGUGGGCAGACGGCACACUCUGUGCUGUAAAUCUGUAUAACUCUGUCCAUCUGUAUGGUUUUAUGACCCUUGCUUUCCUUGAUCACCUCUCUGCCAUUGUCGAACUUCCACUGCCUCCAAUCCUGCAUGUAUUUUAGAUUCUGUUUCAGGCUAUACAUUUACUGUGUCUUCUCCCACUGCCCAUCCCCUCACUAUGUGCGACUGGCUUACCAGCAUGAUGUUCCCACAUUAUCUUUCACAGGAAUUGUUUCUUAAGUGCAACAGUUCACCUGUUUUCCACUUCGGAGACAAUAUUAACAAUCACAUUCUGCAGCAUUCCUCACCUCCACCUAAAGGUUGGGAGAUUUUGGCAAACAGCAUUUUCUUUUGUCUCUUCACAAUAGAUAACGCAUUAGCCACAGCCAACCAGUUUGUGCUUACAGUGCUCAAAUAUUAAUAGUGCCCAAUUAAUAUUAAUAACACCUCCUUCAACUCAACCAGACAGGGGCCAGCCCUUCUUUAGUUGAGGUCUCCAGUGAUGCUUUGAAAAAUCAGAGUCAAUCUGUCUGCGUGAAAUUUAAACAAAGUUUGGUCAUCAUCUAACUGGUGCAUUUUCCUUUGCAAUGCCUUGACCAAUCAGAGUCUAUUAUUCGCCCAGGUCAGUACAGUAUAAAACGUUUGCUCCCUUUCCAUUGGUGCUUAUUGUGAAUGAACCGAAGUGUGCAAGACAAAAAGCUUUGAUGAAACUUGCCUUUUUUGCAUACAGUUGGACAUUAUUGAACUGUUGUACAUUGUUGUGGCUCGGCCUCUCUCACAAUGCCACCACACAAGGCCUUAUAGAUGAUUAUGGAGGAACAAUGUGUAUUGUGGUUGAUUAAUUAUUUCAAUAAAUAAAGAGAGGACAGAACUGUGAGCAUCGGCCCCUUAUAAAAUGAGCUUUGUAAAGGGUAACAUUGAGGAGCUAGGAAAGGGCAGGAGAGUUAAACAAAUACUUUUCAACAAUAUUCACAUUAGGGCAUUCUUGCAACUUUAAAAUACACAAAUAUAGUCAAGCAGCAAAAAGGGGAGGAAAUAACCAUAACAGGAGAAAACAUACUGUGGUCAAUGAAGUAUUUCAAAAGAUAAAAAGAGAAGAGAGCUGUGAACAUCGGCCCCUUAGAGAAUGAGAUUUGUCAGUGAUAAUGAGGAGCCAGGAAAGAGCAGGGGAGUUAAACAAAUAAUUUUAAUCAAUCUUCACAGUAGGGAACACUUACAACAUUACAAAAAAAUUAAGUAGUUCAGCAGCACAAAAGGGGAGGAAAGAACCAUAAUAUUGAUCAGAAGAGAAAAAGUAUUUGUGAAAAUAAUAACCAUUGACAAAGAAAAUAGUGGUCGGCCGUUUGGUCAUUCAAACCUGCUCCAACAUUUAACACGAUCAUGGCUGAUCAUCCAUCUGUUCCUGCUUUCUCUCCAUACUCUGAUCCCUUUCACCCCAAGGAUUAUAUCCAAAUCCUUCUUAAAUACAUUCAAUGUUUUGGCUUCAGGUGCUUUCUGUGGCAGAUAAUUCCAGAGGUGAGGAAAUUUCUUCUUAUCUCAGUCCUAAAUAGCUUGUCGAUGACAGGUUAAAGAGACACUAGGAUCCCAUCUUUAUGCUCCCAUGUAUGCCCAUAUCCUAAAAGUCAUGGUUCUGGACACCCUGUUUAUUGAGAACAGCCUUCCUCUGUUUAUCCUGUGUAGCCCUGUCAGAAUUCUUUUGUUUCUAUGAAAGACCACUCUUCUGAACUCGAGUGAAUAUAGUCCUAACUGAUCCAGUCUUUCUUCACAUGUCAGUCCUGUCAUCCCAGGAAUCAUUCUGGUCAACCUUCAUUGUACUCCCUUCACAGCCAAAGCAUUCUUCCACAAGAAUAAUGAGACCAAAAUUGCACACAAGAAUCCAGCUAUGGGCUCACUGAGACCUGUGGAAUCACAGAAGGACGUUCCUGCUCCUGAAUCUGAAUCCUCUCGUUAAGAAGGCCAAAAGAAACUAACUUGUGCUUGGGACAUUUGAAAACAAAGUGUAAGUUUUGUGUUAAAUACAAAGCUAAUUUAUUUGCCUUUUACUCAGAAAAUAAAAACCUAUAUUUUCAGGAAAGUCAAUUUAACAUCAGUAGAAACAGACAACAAUGAAAUGUGUUCAUUACCGAACAUAAUUAAUAGCAAAAUGCAACCACUGUGGUUAUUUGUGAAUUCACUCAUGUUUUUUUUGGGGGGGGGGCAGCAGGGGGGGUUGUCGGGUGUUUGAGUGAAUCCCUUCCCACAUUCAAUGCAGGCGAACGACCUCCCUCCAGUCUGAACAUCACUGGCAUACAAUGAGGUGAAAUGAUCACCUGAACCCAGUUUGAAAGUGAAAGCACUGGAACGGUCUCUCACCUGUGUCAACACAUUGAUGGAUCAUCAAUUGUUGAGGACUUUUAAAGCAUUUUCUGCAAUCUGAACAUUCAAAGUUAUUUCAAUAAUGUGAGCAAGUUCAUGGAGGCUAAUUGUUCAGAAUCUUUAUACCAUUUCCCACAUUCUCUGGUCAGAAUGAACUUGCUCGUGUUUCAGCAGGUACAAUGAUCUGACGAAUCUCUUCCUGCACAUGAAGCAAGUGAACGGUAUCUCCCCUGUGUGGAUGCAUUGGUGUACAGCGAGGUUACAUAUUCAUCUGUACCCAGUCCCAUCAUGAGAGUAUCUUAUUGGGCUCUCAACAGUGUGAACAUGUUGAUGGGACAUCAGUUCUCCAGAACAUUUACAGCAUUUCCUGCAGUCUGAACAUUGAAAAAGGUCUCUCAUUAGAAUGAACUUUCUGGUGUUUCACCAGGUCAGAUGAGUGAAUGAAACACUUCCUACAUAUGGAAUAGAUGAACGGUCUCUCCCCAGUGUGAAUGUGCUGGUGUAUUGGGAGUUUAGAUGAUCGCUUGAACCGAGUCGCACAGUGAGAGCACCUGAAUGGUUUCUCACUAAUG